rnacentral:rRNA from 1 species
AGUGAACGCUGGCGGUAGGCCUAACACAUGCAAGUCGAACGGCAGCACAGUAAGAGCUUGCUCUUACGGGUGGCGAGUGGCGUACGGGUGAGGAGUACAUCGGAAUCUACUUUUUCGUGGGGGUUCACGUAGGGAAACUUACGCUAAUACCGCAUACGACCUACGAGUGAAAGCAGGGGAACUUCUCCCCUUGCGCGACUGAAUUAGCCGAUGUCGGAUUAGCUAGUUGGCGGGGUAAUGGCCCAACAAGGCGGGGAUCCGUAGCGGGUCUGAGAGGAUGAUCAGCCACACGGGAACGGAGACAGGGUCCCGACUCCUGGGGUAGGCAGCAGUGGGGAAUAUUAGACAAUGGGGGAGAGCCUGAUACAGCCAUACGGCGUGGGUGAAGAAGGCGUUCCGGUUGGAAAGCCCUUUUGUUGGGAAAGAAAAGCAGCAGGUUAAUACGCCGCUGUACUGACGGUACCCAAAGAAUAAGCACCGGCUAACUUCGUG